UGGGGGAUAUUGCACAAUGGGCGAAAGCCUGAUGCAGCGACGCCGCGUGGGGGAUGAAGGCCUUCGGGUUGUAAACUUCUUUUGCUCUGAACAAGGCAUGCUAAUGGGUGUGUUGAGUGUAGGGGUUGAUUAGCGCCGGCUAACUACGUGCCAGCAGCCGCGGUAAUACGUAGGGCGCGAGCGUUGUCCGGAAUUAUUGGGCGUAAAGGGCUUGGAGGUGGCUGGUUGCGUCUGUCGUGAAAGCUCAUGGCUUAACUGUGGGUUUGCGGUGGGUACGGGCUGGCUUGAGUGCAGUAGGGGAGGCUGGAAUUCCUGGUGUAGCGGUGGAAUGCGCAGAUAUCAGGAGGAAUACCGGUGGCGAAGGCGGGUCUCUGGGCUGUUACUGACACUGAGGAGCGAAAGCAUGGGGAGCGAACAGG
rnacentral:rRNA from 1 species